rnacentral:rRNA from 1 species
AGUGAACGCUGGCGGUAGGCCUAACACAUGCAAGUCGAACGGCAGCACAGGAGAGCUUGCUCUCUGGGUGGCGAGUGGCGGACGGGUGAGGAAUACAUCGGAAUCUACUCUGUCGUGGGGGAUAAUGUAGGGAAACUUACGCUAAUACCGCAUACGACCUACGGGUGAAAGCAGGGGACCUUCGGGCCUUGCGCGAUUGAAUGAGCCGAUGUCGGAUUAGCUAGUUGGCGGGGUAAAGGCCCACCAAGGCGACGAUCCGUAGCUGGUCUGAGAGGAUGAUCAGCCACACUGGAACUGAGACACGGUCCAGACUCCUACGGGAGGCAGCAGUGGGGAAUAUUGGACAAUGGGCGCAAGCCUGAUUCAGCCAUACCGCGUGGGUGAAGAAGGCCUUCGGGUUGUAAAGCCCUUUUGUUGGGAAAGAAAUCCAGCUGGCUAAUACCCGGUUGGGACGACGGUACCCAAAGAAUAAGCACCGGCUAACUUCGUGCCAGCCGCCGCAGUAA